AGUCCAUGAUGUGGACAGAGCCUUAACAUAUCAUUGUAUCUCUCUCAUGCUUCAAAAAGAGAUUUGUUGUCUUUUUUACUAAAUUUGUUGAUUUGACUUCUUAGCAU